rnacentral:sRNA from 1 species
GCUGGGCAUGGUGCUGCACCCCUGUAAUCCCAGCGGCUGGGGAGGCUGAGGCAGGAGGAUCCUGAGUUCAAAGCAGCCUCCGCAACAUAGUGAGGCCCUAAGCAACUCAGUGAGACCCUGUCUCUA